GAUGAACGCUGGCGGCGUGCCUAAUACAUGCAAGUCGAGCGAACAGACGAGUAGGUGUCUCCUCUGACGUUAGCGGCGGACGGGGGAGUAGCACGUGGAUAACCGACCGAUAAGACUGGGAGAACUGCGUGAAACCGGAGCUAAUACCGGAUAAUAUAUUGAACCGCAUGGUUCAAGAGUUAAAGACGGUUUUGCUGUCACUUAUAGAUGGAUCCGCGUCGCAUUAGCUAGUUGGUAAGGUAACGGAUUACAAAGGCAACGAUGCGUAGCCGAUCUGAGAGGGUGAUCGGUCAAACUGGACUUGAGACACGGUCAAGAAUACUACGGGUGGCAGACGUACGGAAUCUUCCCGGAUGGGCGAAAGCCUGAAGAUGCAACGCCGCGUGAGUGCUGAAGGUCUUCAGAUCGUAAAAAUCUGUUAUUCGGGAAGAACAAAUGUGUAAGUAACUAUGCACGUCUAGACGGUAACUAAUCAGAAAGCCACGGCCAAAUACCUG
rnacentral:rRNA from 1 species